rnacentral:lncRNA from 1 species
CAGAAGGCGCUGGGAAAGGCCCACCAGAGUCUGGCAGCUUCUCACCUCCUCCCCAGAGAGAUGAAAUCCCUAGACUUGGCAGAGAGCCGGUCACUCAGGUGAGCGAGGUGUCAUCGUCGCUGCCCUCUCCUCCCGCACCGCCUGCCCGCUCCUCGCGGCUCUCUGUCACUGCACUCUCAUCGAUGUUCUCCAGUGAGUCUGCAUGUUGCACCGACAACUCUGACAGCGCCAGGCUGGGCAAUGGGCUCUGCUCCGGGUGCAGCCAUGGCUUGAAAUGAGGCUGGUGUUUCUGCUUCCACUCGGGGUACUUGAUGCAGGCCUUGUACAUCUUCUUCAUGGCCUGUAGACCAUUCGAACAUUGUUAGGGGUGCCUGGAGGGCCACACCCCUCCAGAGCCCUCCUGCGGUGUACAGUAGUCCCCAGUGUCCCAACUACGGCCAUGGGUAGACCUGGUUCAUCAGCCAUCACCCAGUGUUGACUCUGCCCCUGCCCUACUCCUCAGUGCUACCCCCUCCCCCAUGUCCCAGAGCACACAGCCACUUACCUUGGGGGCCAGGAACUGAGAUGACUUAUUCACCACCCACUUGGGUAAGGAGCCUGUGGGGGCAGGGAGAAGCCCUUAGGCACCCAGCCCCACCCACUGCCAGCCCCCCUCCCUCUUCAGAGUUUGUGGGGAGGCCACCCCCUUGGCAUUCCUUCUCAGAUCCCCCAAGCUCAUCUCUGGCCCCACUGUCUGUCUGCUGAGCUCCAGUUCAGAGAAGAAAACCACACGGCCCUAGGUAACCACAAGUGACCUGUGGUGUGACAUUCUGACCUACCAAGCUCCAGCCUGUCACCUCCUUCUCCUCACACUAAUAGCCUAGGUCUGUCCCUGAGGCUCAGCCUCUCUCCUGUCUGUCCUGCUGAGCCUCCUAAGACAUCUUAGGCUCAGCACUCUAGUCUAGCCCGCCCUGGAAUCCAUAGGCCAGCUCUCCACCUGUCUCCCUCCAAGUUCCUGCUCUGUACACACAGAACACUCAUAAAGAGCAGGGAACCCUGACCUAGGCUGCGGGGUAUCCCUGUCAAUGACAAUCCUGUCUUUACGUGUUCAGUCACCAACUCACUCCACAUUCUGUGACACCCACCCUGCACCUGUCUGGACACUCACAACAGGAAUUCAGUGUGUGACAUUUCAACACAGACUGGUGUUCUGCUGGAGGGGGAUGGGCCCUGAAACAGGCAGCAGGCUCUCACUCUGGGAGUCAGGGACUCCGGGAGCACUGAGUAAGAAGCAGAGGUUCAGGGAGCUAGCUGAGGAUAAAGGCUGGAGGGACAUGGAGGUAAGAAGUGGAAGGGCAUGAGGGGGCUAGAGAUCCCCCUUCCCCGCCCUGGGCAGGGGCUCUGGCUGGACUCAGAGGGCAACAGAGUCACAGUGACAUUUUAAGCAGGUGAGUCAGAGGAAGUAAGUGUUGUUUUUAUCUCCUCUAGUAGCUUGUUUGGACAAACAAAGUGGCUGAGUACCAGAAGAAUGAUAGGCUGGGAGCUGUCAGAGGGUGAAAAGGUGAGAACAGGGGCUAAGUAUGUUAACACGGGCCUGGAAUUCCCAGCAUGCGGGAGACAAAGUCAGGAUGAUGGCGAGUUCAAGACCAGCCUGGGUGAGUCAGAAGAAAGGGAGGGAGGAAGAGAGAGACUAAGUGCUACAUUUAGGAGCUGACAAGGAGAAGCUGGCCCCAAUUAACUAGCAAGUUCUAAACAAAGGGGACCAGAAAGCAAGCUACUGAUCUGAUGAAGGGUGGGUCUAAGAAGGGCAAUGGUGAGUUCACGGUUGGGUACAACAAGUCUCAGGUGUCCAGAAGACAUCCUGAGGAAGAUGUCUAGGAGGAUAACCACCUCAACAGAGAUGAGGGCUCAUCUGUCGCAGACGUGAGCUGAAAGAACAGCUUGGAAAGCUCAGGCCUCUGGGAUGUGGCCGAAGGAGAUGCGGUGGUGAGAGCAGGUCCAGGCUAGGAAUGCUAGCACCAGGAAGGCAGUUCCAAACUCCCGAGAGGAGCACUGGCCGCCUCGUGGGUCCAUUGCUUUCAAACCACUAGCUUUGGCUAGAGAUCCCCCAGUACUAAACAGCUCCUAACAGACGGCCUUCAGAUAGCCUGGCAGAUCCAGUUCAUUCCCUGUACAGGGAAGGAGCCCCUGCUGAUGGACUGCAGGGCCAAGCCCUCACCUUUGGGGUCCACUUGGGCCAGGUAGGUGAUGACGCAGCUCUUGGGCCCCGUGCUCUGGAUGAGGUAGCCCGUCUGGAUGGACACAGCUCGGACCAAGUCUUUCCGAGGUGGGUAUUUCUGGGGAUGGAAGGCACAGGGAGGUGAGACUUGGGUGGAGUCAGAGGGACUGCCUCUAUAAGGUACACACACACACACACACACACACACACACACACACACACACACACGAACCCAUAGCUGUUCACAUUUCUUGACAACUGUGCCCGUCCAGACCUAAUGUAGGUUAAGGAAAAAUAAUCAGGCCAGGCCAUCCUUGCCCCCUCUCACUUGUGCUUUCUCUGUGCCAUUAGGGAAGUGCCAGGCUAUGUCAGGGCUUAUGCGUGUUUGUGGGCACUGAACCCUUGCCUAGGCUAACUACACCUGCCUGCCCUCUCUGCCCAGGGAGUUCAAGUGAGUCCCACCACAGGAACCUGCCUUCUAGUUCCUGCUAGCCCAUUUAUAGGCCAGCCUCACUCAUCCCAAGGGCUGGUCCACCCACAUCAGGUCAUCCCACCCACUCACGGCAGAGCCGGCCCAUACUGCCCUUUCCCUGAGCUACUGGACAGGCCCCGAAGGGAAGUCAUUAUCCUCAAUGUGCAGGAAGGAAACCAGCCCCCAUGCCUGCCCGAAGUCACUGGACAGCCAGCCACAGCCCAGCCCUGCCCAUCACCCUUCUGCACACCCCAGGGGAGGGCAGGCCAACUCACAGGGUGUUUCACUGAGUAGUUCAUAAUGAUGUAAUCAGCGCCCAUGGGGAGCCAGGAGCGGAGGGUGAUGACAUCACGGUUCUUCAGGGGCUUGGGACACCUCCCUGUAGAGGGCAAGGAAUAAUUCAGCCAGGCUGCUGGCCCAUCUUCCUAUAAGGAAGGGUGUGAUGGAGGCCAAAAAUACAGGGAUCCUAUCAACUGCCAGCCCUCCCCAUCCCGACAGGUACCCCCCAACCCCUACCACAGACACACUGUGAAACCAGGAAGCAGAGAAGAACCCUUGUCCCCACUGUCUCUCUGCCUACCCUGCCCCCAGGGACUCACACAGCCCUUACCUCAUUGCUCUGACUUGUCUGUGUAUGUGAAUAUAUUUGAAAGAUAGACAGUACUGUGAUUGCAUGUGCUUAAAAAUGUGUCCCUGUGGUAUGUGGCAUGUGGCACACAACUGCAUAUGCAUGUGUUUGUGUGUGUCAGGGAUAGCAUGUAAGCGUGCCCAAGGAGAGCACAGCUUUCCUUCUCAGCAUGCAGGUCCCCGAGCAGCCUAGCAUAGGAGUGACCACAGGGAGGGAGAGUUAGAGGAGAUGUGCUGAGAGGUAGGGGUGGAGGGUGAGGGGGUUGGAGUCUCGUUCUGUGCCUGCUCACAGGAAUAAUAUCCUACGUCAGCGUUGACAGUCAAGCGGGCGAUGUCGAAAGUCUCAAUGACAUUACUGUCCCACUUCUUUCUGUAUUCUAUGUCAUGCAGGACAUCGUAGAGCGUCUCAGCUGGCACGUCACAGCAUUCCAUCCGACACUGCAGACAGACAUGGGUUGUCAGGGCCACAGGCACAGGGGCGCAGAGUUGGGGGGAGACAGAGGAACAGGGGCCACUUCUUAUCAUGAGCCUGGCUCAGCUCCCCAGAAACCUCUUGUACCAAGGGACCGUUAGCCCCCCAGCUCAGCCCCGUAUCCUUUUGAGGCAAAUCAUCCAGGCUCCUGCACACUGUGUCUAUGCCCUCCCUAUCCGCUGGGAGCAGCUUGUGAGCAGACAGUUAAUUCAGCAAGGAGCUUAAGAUAGGUGCACAUUAAAUGGAAAAUCAAAUGCCCAAAUACACCUUACGACCUAGCUACAUUUGUGUGUGUGUGUGUGUGUGUGUGUGUGUGUGUGUGUGUGUGUGUGUGUGUGUGUGUGUGAGAUUUAACUGCUUUGUAACACCAGCACUUGAGAGGCUGGGGCAAAAAGAGCACCCCAAGUUCAAGGGCCAGCCUGGGCUAGAUAGUGAAUUGGUAGGACUCUAUUUUCAGACAUCUUCUCAUUAUUCAGUUGUACCCUCAAAGAGCUUCCCAACUAGGGGAGAGGACAGCCAAGUUGCACAUCUCACUUUAUUUAGCCCUUCAAAUGAUUAGGCCAGGUAACAAAGCCAAGGAAGGAAUUGAGGUUCAAAGAGGUUAAGUGCUCAGCCAAGGUCACCUGGCUGGUUAAGUAGCAGGGCUGUGACUUAAUCCAGCUCACAUGUCUGGGAAGCAAAGACAGAGCCAGAGUUCUCAAGAUCGGUAUUCAAAACGGUGAGAUUCGAUGUCCCUGUUCUAUCCUGCCCCAAGAGCCCAACCCCCACAGCAAAGUAUAACGGUUUUUUUCCUGUGUAGUCUAUAAUACUCUCCCAGAACUGACAUUCGUCCAACACAGGAAACCCACACACUCUGCUCUCUCCCCAUGAGAAAGUGAGUACACUCAGCUCCAAGAGAGGAAGCACUGCCCCCCUCCUCACUGAGGACAGGCCUGGGCACAAUGAAAGCACACAAUAGGCUGCUCCUGGCUGGGGAUACUAAGUACAAGAGACACCUAUGCCCUACACACUACUUCGGAUUACAGAAACUACAGAGCACAAAGCUACCCCAUGAGAGCAGAGCUGGGCCCUGCAGAACAACCAGCCUAGUCUAUGCACAUGAGCUGCACUUUGUCAAAUAGGUGUCCUAAUGAAGGGAUUGGACGCCACCAUUUGUUUUUUUUGUUGUUGUUAUUGUUGGUUUGGUUUGUUUGUUUUUGAGACAGGGUUUUCCUGUGUAGCCCUGUAGACCAGGAUGAACUAGAACUCUGAGACCUUCAUACCCCCACCUCCUAAAUGCUUAAGUUAAAGGCAUGGGUUUUUUUUUUAUGAUUUAUUUUUAUUUUAUGUGCAUUGGUGUUUUGUCUGUAUGUGUGUCUGUGUAAGAGUUUAGUCCCAGCCGGGCGUGGUGGCGCACGCCUUUAAUCCCAGCACUUGGGAGGCAGAGGCAGGCGGAUUUCUGAGUUCGAGGGCUCUACAAGAGAAACCCUGUCUCGAAAAAAAAAAAAAGUUUAGUCCCCUGGAACUAUAGUAACAGACAUUUGUAAGCUGCCACGUGCUGGGGCUGGGGAUUGAACUCAGGUCUUCUGAAAAGAGAAGCCGGUGCUUUUAACUAUGACAGGCCUGCGCACCACCAUCUGUAAAGUGUGACUCUGGAUUGUGACACAGCAACUAUAAAUAGGACAUUCCUCCUCCUCCUCCUCCUCCUCCUCCUCCUCCUCCUCCUCCUCCUCCUCCUCAACAAGAGAUUUGAUCUAGAGCUUCCUGCAGGCAAGACAAAUGUUCGAUGACUGAGCUAAACCCCUGGGCCUCUUUUUGCUGCUUACGCUUGAGAUGGGAUCGCACUAAGUUGCCCAGGUUGGACUUGCAUUUGUGAUCUUCCUGCCUCAGCUCUUAAGUUCCUCAGAUGACAGGCCUGCACCACCACGUCCCCCGCUUACAAGAAACGUUUCAGGGGACAACUAGAGAAACAUGAGGGUGAUCUGAGUCUUAGAUGCACUGAAACUGUAUGGAAACAAAUGGUGGAAAUUUCUGUCCCCUCCCCCCAAAGUACAUGACAAAGAGCAGUGUGGAAAAUCUGUGCUCAGGACAAGCUCAAGCUACAGAAAUCUCAGGUGACAACAGUGUCUCUCUGCCAGAAGUGCAAUGACUGUUUUCGUUUGUAUUUCUGAGUUUCUGAAAUGUCUGUAGUACUGCUUCAGCAAUAAUCUCCCUCCCCACUUUGGUUCUUUGAGACAGGGUUUCCCCUGGCUGUCCUGGAACUCACUCUGUAGACCAGGCUGGCCUCAAACUCAGAGAUCUGCCAGCACCUGCCUCACAAGUGCUGGGAUUAUAGGUGUGUGCCACCAUGCCCAGCUAUUAAGAAAAAAAUUUCAAGUAUGAAGGUACCCCAGAUCACAACUACAUUUUGAGGGAUAAGACCUAGUUUAGAAAUGAAGAGUUCCAGCUGUCAGCUGGGGUGGGGGUUGGGGGAUGGGGAGAUGGAUCUGUCUGGCUGAGGACACCAGAUCACACACAUCUUCAGACCCUUCCCCACCUUCAGCCUCUGAAUAAGAUGAUUGGAACGCACACAUACAUGCAUACACAUGCACCUGCACACAAACACACAUGCAUGCACAAGUAAACACAUUGCAGCAUUAAUACAUUUCAUUUUAAAGAGAGUUUUAAAGUUCAGGCAAGAGGAGGACAGAGCUUUGGCGUGGCCAAAGCUGUGGGUUCUACCAGCAACAAAAGAAUUCAAGAAUGAACUCCAACCCAUACCUGUAAGACAUGGCUUUGAGGAAGUCCUUUCCCUCUGCCUCGUUUGCUUUUCUAGUCCAUGAAAGUGUGUGACUGGAUCCCACCACCUAACUCGCAGCCCCCAGUUCCAGCUCUGUGCUGAGUCUAAGGAGGCAGAGGUGAAUGUGACGCCUGGGCUUCCUGUAACUUCCAGACAAGGAAGGUGACCUAACAUGCCUGGGAGGGCUCAGAGCAGCCUGGCUCCUCAGGGGCCGG